GACGAAGGAUGCAAGCGUUAUCCGGAUUCAUUGGGUUUAAAGGGAGCGUAGGUGGCCUGCUAAGUCAGUGGUGAAAUCUUCUCGCUUAACGAGAAAACUGCCAUUGAUACUGGUGGGCUUGAGUACAGAUGCCGUUGGCGGAAUAUGACAUGUAGUGGUGAAAUACAUAGAGAUGUCAUAGAACACCGAUUGCGAAGGCAGCUGACGAAACUGUAACUGACACUGAGGCUCGAAAGUGCGGGGAUCAAACAGG
rnacentral:rRNA from 1 species